GGAGGGUGUAAGCGUUAUUCGGAAUUAUUGGGCGUAAAGAGCGCGUAGGCGGUUUUUAAGUCAGAUGUGAAAGCCCGAGGCUUAACCUCGGAAGUGCAUUUGAAACUAAGAGACUUGAGUAUGGGAGAGGGAAGUGGAAUUCCUGGUGUAGAGGUGAAAUUCGUAGAUAUCAGGAGGAACACCGGUGGCGAAGGCGACUUCCUGGACCAAUACUGACGCUGAGGCGCGAAGGCGUGGGGAGCAAACAGGAUUAGAUACCCUGGUAGUCCACGCAGUAAACGGUGAACACUAGGUGUAGCGGGUAUUGACCCCCCUGCUGUGCCCGAAGUUAACGCAUUAAGUGUUCCGCCUGGGGAGUACGACCGCAAGGUUA
rnacentral:rRNA from 1 species